UAAUAGAUUAGGCAGGGAGCAUGUCUCCAAGAAAUCAGUUAUUACGUGAGAGAGCUGCCAUACAUGGAAGUAUUUCUCAUGAAUUUGAACUACUCAUAUAGA